rnacentral:piRNA from 1 species
UAGCACCCUGCAACAGCGUUCAUCAU